rnacentral:tRNA from 1 species
GAAGGUAUAGCUCAGUGGUAGAGCACAUGUUUAGCAUGCUGGUUCAAUCCCCAGUACCUCCA